UCUGGUUCUCAGGUUGAUGUCGUGUAUAUAAAUUUAUAUUUCUUUCAUUGCAGCACGUUUGAAGUAUUAUAUAAAAAAAAUGAAAAGCUGUUCGAAUAACAUGUCGUUUAAAGAGAAAGAAUAUUUAAAACAAAAAGUGGAAGUGACACUUCGUGAUCGUGUCGCGGGCAAUUUAGAUGCAUUUAUCGGCGACGUUUUAAGGUUGACGGAAAACGGGCAAAACAAGUAGCUUUCAUGAAGUUUAUCAUGACAUGUGUUCAUGUAUAUAAAUUGUAUUAUUUAUUUGUAUACGCAAUACAGUAUAUCAUAAAUUUCCUUGUAAAUAUGUGACGUGAAACACUUUGUAUAUAAGCGUAGUGAGAAAAAUUGUGACAUAUUGUUAUUAUAAUUAUUAUUAUUAGUUUUAAUUGUUCUGUAUGUUAACUACAGAGCAGCUAAUUUGGCAUCUUAACGAAGAGCAGACAAUGUAUUAAACACAAUAUGUAUGAUAUUUUUAAGUAAAUACAAUAAUUUCUUCGACAAA